rnacentral:rRNA from 1 species
UACGGAGGGGGCUAGCGUUGUUCGGAAUUACUGGGCGUAAAGCGCACGUAGGCGGCUUUGUAAGUUAGAGGUGAAAGCCCGGGGCUCAACUCCGGAAUUGCCUUUAAGACUGCAUCGCUUGAAUCCAGGAGAGGUGAAUGGAAUUCCGAGUGUAGAGGUGAAAUUCGUAGAUAUUCGGAAGAACACCAGUGGCGAAGGCGGCUCACUGGACUGGUAUUGACGCUGAGGUGCGAAAGCGUGGGGAGCAAACAGG